rnacentral:misc_RNA from 1 species
AUAAGUUUGCAUGAUCCAAUGGAUCAUAUAUGCUUCUUUGGAUGAAGCUUUCAAAUAGGAAAUUGAAUUAUCUGCAAACAAGAGAUGUGUGAGAGUAGUACAGCGUCUGGAUAUUUUCAGGCCCUACAAGGAAGAAGUGGGUCUCCUCGUUUUAAACCCCUCGAAGGUAAGAUGAAAUCUAUCUUAUGCCCAUUCACUUGCACCGAAUAAGAUACAAUAGUAACACAGUCUCUGAUCCAUCUCACCCAGCAUUGGUGGAAUCCAAAACAAGACAACAUGUGAUAGAAGUAUCCCCAUUCAACACGCUCAUAGGUUUUACUGAUGUCUAUUGAGUUAUAAAUUGCAUCAAGAAUUCCUGUGUAUUAUCAUGUCUUGUCAGCAUGCAUCGUGUAAGUAUACCAGAUCCAACCAUAGUGCGUUUUCAGGUAAAU